rnacentral:tRNA from 1 species
UGCCGAAGUGGCGGAAUUGGCAGACGCGCCAGGUUCAGGACCUGGUGGCCGAUAAGGCCGUGUGGGUUCGACUCCCACCUUCGGCAU